UCACUGGGCUCCAUCGUGUCAACGCAAACGCGACCGGAUACACUCAUUACCAUGGGAACGACAACAAUAAUGGAUCGCGCUGUGUGUUUGUAAGAACAAAAUGGGGAAAAACGUGUGUUGGUGGUCACCGGUGCUCAGGACAGGAGAGGACGUUCGUUUAAGGCUUGAUUGAGGGUCUUCAAUCAACCUGCCACGCAUGUUUUUGGGAUGUGGGAGGAAACCGGAGAGCCCGGAGAAAACCCACGCAGGCACGGGGAGAACAUGCAAACUCCACUCAGGCGGUGCCGGGAUUUGAACCCCGGUCUUCAGAACUGUGAGGCAGAUGCUCUAACCAGUCGCCCACCGAUCCACUUCACUUUAAAUAUGAUCAUAAAUCUUUCGGUGAAGGAAAGCCUGCUGUUCAGGAUCGUGAUCUGAAAAGAGACUGCAUCCCAUGGGAACGUGUGGAUCUUUUGUAAAGAUUGAAACAUUGCUUUUCAAAGAGCAAUCUCACAGCUGUGCUGUGGCUUGAAAUCAGCCUUCUGAAGCCAUAACAGACAAGGUAAUCCUAUUCACUAGCCAUCUAGCUACUCUGUUCCUUUGGGCUUUUACCCAUCCAGCUCAAGAUUGUCUUAGAUUUAAUAGGAGCGACAGCAUUCAUGACAUUUGAGACUUUACAGGUGAAAUUAUCCAACAGUUCAUCAACUGUCUCAGCAGUCACAGUUUGUGGCACAGCAAUGGUCUCCCUAAACUUAGUGGCGGUACUCUCAUUUAUGUACCUUUUCUUAAUAGACAUAGAGGUCGUCAGAACUUUUGGAAGAAUCUGCAACAAAAUUUAACAGGUCCAUGCUCAGUUUCAUGGGAAUAAAUAUGAAG